rnacentral:rRNA from 1 species
UUAAGCUACUAAGAGCAUAGGGAGAAUGCCUAGGUACCAAAAGCCGAAGAAAGACGUGAUAAGCUGCGAAAAGCCACGGGGAGAAGCAAAUAUUCAAUAAUCCGUGGAUGUCUGAAUGAGGAAACUCUAACCAAGAAAAAAGUUGGUUAAUCCAUACAUGAGUAAAGUAGUGUAUAGGAGGGGAACGUGGGGAACUGAAACAUCUAAGUACCCACAGGAAAAGAAAGAAAACUCGAUUCCUAAAGUAGUGGCGAGCGAAAUAGGAAGAGCCCAAACCAGAAGAAGAAAUUCAUCUGGGGUUCGGACUACAUAAUUGAUUCAAUGAGUUUAGUAAAAUUGUUUGGGAAAGCAAACCAAAGACGGUGAAAGUCCAGUAUACGAAAAACAAGUUGACAAGGUAGAAUCCAGAGUAGUGCGAGACACGUGAAAUCUCGUAUGAAGGAGCGGGGACCACCCCGUAAGGCUAAAUACUAAUUGGUAACCGAUAGUGAAGAAGUACCGUGAGGGAAAGGUGAAAAGAACCCCGGGAGGGGAGUGAAAUAGAACCUGAAACCCUAUGUUUACAAGCAGACAAAGCACGUUAAGGUGCGAUGUCGUACUUUUUGUAGAACGGUCCGGCGAGUUAUUUUAUAUGGCAAGGUUAAGUACUAAAGGUACGGAGCCGAAGAGAAAUCGAGUCUGAAGAGGGCGAAUAAGUCAUAUGAAAUAGACCCGAAACCGAGUGACCUAUCCAUGUCCAGGCUGAAGCUUGAGUAAAAUCAAGUGGAGGGCCGAACUCAUAGACGUUAAAAAGUCUCGGGAUGAGGUGUGGAUAGCGGAGAAAUUCCAAUCGAACUCGGAGAUAGCUGGUUCUCCUCGAAAUAGUUUUAGGACUAGCCUUGUUUCGUAGCAUUUGGGGGUAGAGCACUGAAUGAGGUAGGGGCCAACACGGUUACUGAACUCUAUCAAACUACGAAUACCAAAUGUGUAAGAACAAGAGUCAGACUGCGGGAGCUAAGUUCCGUGGUCAAAAGGGAAAGAGCCCAGAUCGUCAAUUAAGGUCCCAAAGAUAUAGUUAAGUGGAAAACGAUGUGAUUUUGCGUAAACAACCAGGAUGUUGGCUUAGAAGCAGCCAUUCAUUCAAAGAGUGCGUAAUAGCUCACUGGUCGAGUGAAGUUGCGCGGAAAAUUACCGGGGCUAAACUAUACACCGAAAUUGCGGAUUUGCAUAGAAAUAUGUAAGUGGUAGAGGAGCAUUCUAUAGUAGGACGAAGCAUAAUCGAAAGGAUAUGUGGACGAGAUAGAAGAGAGAAUGCCGGAAUAAGUAGCGAAAGCAUGGUGAGAAUCCAUGCCAUCGAAAGUCUAAGGUUUCCUGGGGAAGGUUCGUCCGCCCAGGGUAAGUCGGGACCUAAGGAGAGGCCGAAAAGCGUAUCCGAUGGACAGCAGGUAGAAAUUCCUGCACUACGUAAUACUUAAAAGACAUAAAUGACACAGGAGUGGAAGAUAAGCGAGGAAGAGGAAAGACUCGUAUCGAAAGAUAUAGUGAAAAUUAAAGUAACGAAUUAUCAAGAAGCUAAUGGCGAGAAAAGUUUAUGGAUAUUGUAUUAAGUACCCGUACCGCAAACCGACACAGGUAGAUGAGGAGAAGAUCCUAAGAUGAGCGAGAGAAGCAUUGUUAAGGAACUCGGCAAACUGACCCCGUAACUUCGGAAUAAGGGGUGCUGGAGUAAAAUCCAGUCGCAGAGAAUAGUCCCAAGCAACUGUUUAACAAAAACACAGGUUUCUGCUAAAUCGAAAGAUGAAGUAUAGGAGCUGACACCUGCCCAGUGCUGGAAGGUUAAGGGAAAGAGUUAGACGCAAGUCGAAGCUUAGAACUAAAGCCCCAGUGAACGGCGGCCGUAACUAUAACGGUCCUAAGGUAGCGAAAUUCCUUGUCAGGUA